rnacentral:tRNA from 1 species
GGACAGAUGGCCGAGCUGGUUAUGGCGCCAGGUUAAGGUUGCACCUUAAUACAACGUGAUUUAUUCACAUAGUUUCCUGGUCACGAAAGUGGCGUGGGUUCGAGUCCCACUCUGUUCA